rnacentral:rRNA from 1 species
CGGCGGACGGGUGAGUAAUGCCUAGGAAUCUGCCUGGUAGUGGGGGACAACGUUUCGAAAGGAACGCUAAUACCGCAUACGUCCUACGGGAGAAAGCAGGGGACCUUCGGGCCUUGCGCUAUCAGAUUAGCCUAGGUCGGAUUAGCUAGUUGGUGAGGUAAUGGCUCACCAAGGCGACGAUCCGUAACUGGUCUGAGAGGAUGAUCAGUCACACUGGAACUGAGACACGGUCCAGACUCCUACGGGAGGCAGCAGGU